rnacentral:rRNA from 1 species
AUUGAACGCUGGCGGCAUGCUUUACACAUGCAAGUCGAACGGUAGCAGGCCGCAAGGUGCUGACGAGUGGCGAACGGGUGAGUAAUGCAUCGGAACGUGCCCAGUCGUGGGGGAUAACUAUCCGAAAGGAUAGCUAAUACCGCAUACGAUCUGCGGAUGAAAACGGGGGACCUUCGGGCCUCGCGCGAUUGGAGCGGCCGAUGUCAGAUUAGGUAGUUGGUGGGGUAAAGGCUCACCAAGCCAACGAUCUGUAGCUGGUCUGAGAGGACAACCAGCCACACUGGGACUGAGACACGGCCCAGACUCCUACGGGAGGCAGCAGUGGGGAAUUUUGGACAAUGGGCGCAAGCCUGAUCCAGCAAUGCCGCGUGCAGGAAGAAGGCCUUCGGGUUGUAAACUGCUUUUGUACGGAACGAAACGGCUCUGGUUAAUACCUGGGGCUAAUGACGGUACCGUAAGAAUAAGCACCGGCUAACUACGUGCCAGCCGCCGCCGUAAAAC